AUGUCAUUAGAUAAACAAAAUCAUCAAUAUAUUAUAUUUUCUCAUAAAUAUGAUGGCAUGCAUAAAAAGUUAUUGUAGGAAUUAGAAACCAUGUUUAAAAAGUAAUUGGCUAAUUUACAUUCGGAAACAAAAUAAGGCAUUGUCAUGGAUUAAUUUUCUUGUUCUUCUUUUUUCCCCUCUCUAUAUUUUUGAAAUCUCUCUUUAAGUUCUCGAAAAGACUUCAGUAAGUUCAGUCUAUCUUCUGGCGGAAUAUAACGAUGGCCGUAAGGUGAUCAGUGGCGGACCUGGGCUUAUGCCUGGUGGGUCAAGUGACUCACCAGGGCCCAAAAAAAAUUUUAAGUUUUUUUUUAAAAAAAAAAUAAAAUAAAAAAUUCUAACGUUUGAGUUAGCCCUAGCCCACUUCGCCAGUUCGCCUCUUCCUCUUCGCAAGUUCGCAUCUUCCUCUUUGCCUCUUCCUCAGACCUCAGUUCCUCUUCACUAGUUCGCUUCAUCUUCCUCUUCGCAUAAUUUCAGGUUAGUCAUCUACUCAUCUUUCGGCUUUUUUUUUUAUUUAUUUAUUUAAUUGUUGAUAUUACUUGUUAGUUGUUAGUUAUGAAUUAUGAUUUAGUAAUACUAAAUUUGAACCCUAAAUCCCUAAUUGUUCAAUAAUCAACUCAAUUUCAGAGAAUUUUGCAUUAUCUGAAUUGUGAAUUUGUGAAAUGUUUGAACCCUAAAUCCCUAAUUGUGAAUUUGUGAAAUGUAAAAUGUUAGUUAUCAACUCAAUCCCUAAUUGACUAAUUGUUCAUAAUCUACUGCUCUUCGCUAGUUUGCUCACGUCUCCAGUGCUGGCUGUGCUGCUGGCCUGCUGGCUGCUGCUCGCCUAGUCGCCUGCUCCAGCCUCCAGUGCUCUGUGCAGCUGUGCUCUGUCCUCUACUGCUCGCCUAGUCGCCUGCUCCAGUGCCUAGUCGCUGACUUGCUGUCUUGCUGAGUGUUGGGCAUGGCAGUGCUGCUCCGCCUGCUCCGCUGCUCGCCUCAAUCAUUCAGCGCCUGCCGCCUCCGCCUAGCAAGGGAAGACUCAGCUUAUCAAUCAUUUUCUAAUCAACAAGAGUUGGUAUAUUGUUAAUUUGCCUGGAUAUGGGUGAGUCUCUGUAAUUUUGGUUUUAAUUUGGGCAAUUUCUGUAAUUCUUGAGUCUAUUUCAUGCUGGGAAUAUUGUAUACUUGUAUUGUGAAUCAAUUGUUAUUCGUGUUUAUUCCUGAUCAUAUGCUUGAAUCAUAUUGAAGUGCCAAAAAAGGAUUGCUUUUACGCCUUGAGGCAUUGCUUCAAAAUUAUUGA